GGCGCAUUAGGCAAGCGGUUAAGCCACACGACUUUCAAUCGUGCACUCGGCGGGUUCGAAUCCCCCAUGCGUCACCA
rnacentral:tRNA from 2 species